rnacentral:misc_RNA from 1 species
GAUGAAGAACGUAGCGAAUUGCGAUAAGUAAUGUGAAUUGCAGAAUUCAGUGAAUCAUCGAAUCUUUGAACGCACCUUGCGCCCUCUGGUAUUCCGGAGGGCAUGCCCGGUUGAGUGUCAUGAAUAUCUCAAACCCAGCGCUUUGUCAAAGGUCCCCUUGACCUGCCCCGGUUGGCCUAGCGAGGCUUCGGUGGUGAUCCUUGGGACUGAGGUGUUGGGGCUUGGACUUGAGCUCCGUUGGCCCUCCUGGGUCGACCGGCUCAAAAUUGAUCAGCGAUGUGUGAUCCCUUGGGUCCAUCUUGGCGUGAUAAGUUGAUCGCCGCAAAAGGACUUCCUCGGGUGUGGCUUGCUUCUAACCGUCUUCGGACAGCGCCUGACGUUUACACCUCAACUCGGGUAGGACUACCCGCUGAACUUAAGCAUAUCAAUAAGCGGAGGA